UUUCAAUCGGUCUGAUACCGGCUAAAUACCCGAUCUCUGUAAAGUGCGUACUAUCAUUCAUCUUCAUACUAAUUGAUGAGCCCAAGCAAACCAUCGGCCGGCUAAAAAUCUGCAGUAUGCUUAUACUCUUACCCCUUCACAAUAUUAGCCAGACAUCCUUUGUUCUCAUCAACCCUUCGCAAAAACAUAGCUAGAUGCAUCUUAGUGCUCCCGUCUGGUAUUGAUCGUGACCUGCGCAGUGCAGUUAGAGCUUUCUAGACCAGACUUCCCUUUGUCUGAGUAUCCAGUGCGUCGCCCGACGUCUGCCGUGCAUCACGUGUGACUCCUCGAAGCUGGUGCAGUCUUCAACAGCAUUUUUCUUAUCAUUUAUAAUGAAGAUUUCUGAUCGCAUAGCAGCUUCAUUUCGCAUUUAAAGAUGGCGCCCGUGGCAGCCAUCUUGGAUCCGGCCUGUGGCAGCAUGGCUGACUUUCGAAACAUAUUUCAGAAAGAUUGGAGUUACAUCUUCAAGAAAAUGAUGUACCAGCUUGCAUUCUCUCCACACGUGGCGUUGCUCCGGCGCGUGGCACGCGGCGCCACUUGAGCGCGCUGCGACGGGGCGCAAGUGGCGCCACCAACACCUGAAGCGCCAAAGUCAACCUCACCUGCACGCGGCGCGCCCUGCUCACACCGACGAGGCUCUGACGACUCCCUGUUUCCUCUAUAUGAUAUAGAGAGGAUGCAGUUUUGGAUAUUAUCACUAAUCAGAACAUACUUGGACUUAACAUCAGAAAUUUAAUAUCUAAAGCAUCAUCUUAUCUUACAUAUAGUGGAAGUAGGGACGAAAAGGCAAGAAUGGAUUCAAACUUAUCAUCGCUUGAUUCCGUUCUUGGCCCAAAAUAAUAGGUUCAUUCAAUUUCUAUAAUUCAAUGCGCUUAUUGAUAAAGAAAAUCAUGAUAGAAAUAAUAUUGUAAGAGUUAAGUGGGAAUGCCAGAAAUUCAAACGAUUCUUUUCUAAUAUAUAAGGGGCAACUGUAUAUUGUAUAUAAGUAAUUAAGGGACUGUAUAAUAUAGGUGUAAGUGUUGUUAGGCUUAAACUACCAAUUUACACUAAUUAAUACAUUAUAUGUGAAACCCAA